AAAAUAAUAAUAAAUUAAAAACUAGCAGACUCCCUUCUGAGUAACCGGGCCUCUUCGUCACAAACGUUGAGUUUCGCGUAAAAAGGUUGGAUAGUCUGUGUCAACUAAUCAAGCCGAAAAAAAAAAUAAUAAAUUUAAAACUAGCAGACUCCCUUCUGAGUAACUGGGCCUCUUCGUCACAAACGUUGAGUUUCGUGUAAAAAGGUUGGAUAGUCUGUGUCAACUAAUAGAGCCAAAAAAAAAAUAAUAAAUUUAAAACUAGCAGACUCCCUUUUGAGUAACCGGGCCUCUUCGUCACAAACGUUGAGUUUCGCGUAAAAAGGUUGGACAGUCUGUGUCAACUAAUCAAGUCGAAAAAAAUAAUAACAAAUUAAAAACUAGCCGACUCCCUUCUGAGUAACCGGGCCUCUUCGUCACAAACGUUGAGUUUCGCGUAAAAAGGUUGGAUAGUCUGUGUCAACUAAUCAAGCUGGAAAAAAAUAAUAAUAAAUUUAAAACUAGCAGACUCCCUUCUGAGUAACCGGGCCUCCUCGUCACAAACAUUGAGUUUCGCGUAAAAAGGUUGGACAGCCUGUGUCAACUAAUCAAGCCGGAAAAAAAGUACUAAUAAAUUAAAAACUAGCAGACUCCCUUCUGAGUAACCGGGCCUCUUCGUCACAAACGUUGGGUUUCGCGUAAAAAAGUUGGAUAGUCUGUGUCAACUAAUCAAGCCGAAAAACAAAUAAUAAUAAAUUAAAAACUAGUGGACUCCCUUCUGAGUAACCGGGCCUCUUCGUCACAAACGUUGAGUUUCGCGUAAAAAGGUUGGACAGUCUGUGUCAACUAAUCAAACCGAAAAAAAAGAAGUAAUAAUAAAUUAAAAACUAGCAGACUCCUUUCUGAGUAACCGGGCCUCUUCGUCACAAACGUUGAGUUUCGCGUAAAAAGGUUGGGCAGUCUGUGUCAACUAAUCAAGCCGAAAAAAAAUAAUAAUAAAUUAAAAACUAGCAGACUCCCUUCUGAGUAACCGGGCCUCUUCGUCACAAACGUUGAGUUUCGCGUAAAAAGGUUGGACAGUCUGUGUCAACUAAUCAAGUCGAAAAAAAAUAAUAAUAAAUUAAAAACUAGCGGACUCCCUUCUGAGUAACCAGGCCUCUUCGUCACAAACGUUGAGUUUCGCGAAAAAAGUUUUGACAGUUUGUGUCAACUAAUCAAGCUAAAAAAAAAAGUAAUAAUAAAGUAAAAACUAACAAACUCCCUUCUGAGUAACCGGGCCUCUUCGUCACAAACGUUGAGUUUCGCGUAAAAAGGUUGGACAAUCUGUGUCAACUAAUCAAGUCGAAAAAAAAUAAUAAUAAAUUAAAAACUAGCAGACUCCCUUCUGAGUAACCGGGCCUCUUCGUCACAAACGUUGAGUUUCGCGUAAAAAGGUUGGAUAGUCUGUGUCAACUAAUCAAGCCGGAAAAAAAUAAUAAUAAAUUUAAAACUAGCAGACUCCCUUCUGAGUAACCGGGCCUCUUCGUCACAAACGUUGAGUUUCGCGUAAAAAGGUUGGACAGUCUGUGUCAACUAAUAGAGCCGAAAAAAAAAUAAUAAAUUUAAAACUAGUAGACUCCCUUUUGAGUAACUGGGCCUCUUCGUCACAAACGUUGAGUUUCGCGUAAAAAGGUUGGACAGUCUGUGUCAACUAAUCAAGCCGAAAAAAAAGUAAUAAUAAAAAAAAACUAGCAGACUCCCUUCUGAGUAACCGGGCCUCUUCGUCACAAACGUUGAGUUUCGCGUAAAAAGGUUGGACAGUCUGUGUCAACUAAUCAAGCCGAAAAAAAAAAGUAAUAAUAAAAAAAAACUAGCAGACUCCCUUCUGAGUAACCGGGCCUCUUCGUCACAAACGUUGAGUUUCGCGUAAAAAGGUUGGACAGUCUGUGUCAACUUAUCAAGCCGAAAAAAAAGAAAUAAUAAAUUAAAAACUAACGGACUCCCUUCUGAGUAACCGGGCCUCUUCGUCACAAACGUUGAGUUUCGCGUAAAAAGGUUGGAUACUCUGUGUCAACUAAUCAAGCCGAAAAAAAAAAUAAUAAAUUUAAAACUAGCAGACUCCCUUCUGAGUAACUGGGCCUCUUCGUCACAAACGUUGAGUUUCGCGUAAAAAGGUUGGACAGUCUGUGUCAACUAAUCAAGCCGAAAAAAAAAAGUAAUAAUAAAAAAAAACUAGCAGACUCCCUUCUGUGUAACCGGGCCUCUUCGUCACAAACGUUGAGUUUCGCGUAAAAAGGUUGGACAGUCUUUGUUAACUAAUCAAGCCGAAAAAAAAAGAAAUAAUAAAUUAAAAACUAGCAGACUCCCUUCUGAGUAACCGGGCCUCUUCGUCACAAACGUUGAGUUUCGCGUAAAAAGGUUGGAUAGUCUGUGUCAACUAAUCAAGCUGGAAAAAAAUAAUAAUAAAUUUAAAACUAGCAGACUCCCUUCUGAGUAACCGGGACUCUUCGUCACAAACGUUGAGUUUCGUGUAAAAAGGUUGGACAGUCUGUGUCAACUAAUCAAGCCGAAAAAAAAGAAAUAAUAAAUUAAAAACUAGUGGACUCCCUUCUGAGUAACCGGGCCUCUUUGUCACAAACGUUGAGUUUCGCGUAAAAAGAUUGGAUAGUCUGUGUCAACUAAUCAAGCCGGAAAAAAAAAUAAUAAAUUUAAAACUAGCAGACUCCCUUCUGAGUAACUGGGCCUCUUCGACACAAACGUUGAGUUUCGCGUAAAAAACUUGGACAGUCUGUGUCAACUAAUCAAGCCGAAAAAAAAAGAAAUAAUAAAUUAAAAACUAGCGGACUCCCUUCUGAGUAACCAGGCCUCUUCGUCACAAACGUUGACUUUCGCGUAAAAAGUUUGGAAGUUUGUGUGAACUAAUCAAGCUGAAAAAAAAAGUAAUAAUAAAGUAAAAACUAGCAAACUCCCUUCUGAGUAACCGGGCCUCUUCGUCACAAACGUUGAGUUUCGCGUAAAAAGGUUGGACAGUCUGUGUCAACUAAUCAAGUCGAAAAAAAUAAUAACAAAUUAAAAACUAGCAGACUCCCUUCUGAGUAACCGGGCCUCUUCGUCACAAACGUUGAGUUUCGCGUAAAAAGGUUGGACAGUCUGUGUCAACUAAUCAAGCCGAAAAAAAAGAAGUAAUAAUAAAAUAAAAACUAGCAGACUCCCUUCUGAGUAACCGUGCCUCUUCGUCACAAACGUUGAGUUUCGCUUAAAAAGGUUUGACAGUCUGUGACUACUAAUCAAGUCGAAAAAAAAUAAUAAUAAAUUUAAAACUAGCAGACUCCCUUCUGAGUAACCGGGCCUCUUCGUCACAAACGUUAAGUUUCGCGUAAAAAGGUUGGAUAGUCUGUGUCAACUAAUCAAGCCGGAAAAAAAUAAUAAUAAAUUUAAACUAGCAGACUCCCUUCUGAGUAACCGGGCCUCUUCGUCACAAACGUUGAGUUUCGCGUAAAAAGGUUGGACAGUCUGUGUCAACUAAUAGAGCCGAAAAAAAAAUAAUAAAUUUAAAACUAGCAGACUCCCUUCUGAGUAACUGGGCCUCUUCGUCACAAACGUUGAGUUUCGCGUAAAAAGGUUGGACAGUCUGUGUCAACUAAUCAAGCCGAAAA